CGUGUGUUGUUUGUUUGGAUUCAGCCGUGACUGGACGUGUGUUCCCCCUGUUGUUACUACAACUACUUGGAACGGUUACUGAACAGGACAGAUGUGGAAUGUUGUGCCUUAUAUAGCCGCGUCUGCCUGGAGGAUUCCCGGGCGCUACUGCUGUCAAGGGCGCCCGGGACCAUUUGAUCUGUAGCAUUGUAUUACUCUUUUUGUGUGUGUGUUUUCUUGCUAGUAUUUACGACCUCUCUUUCUAGUGGACGUAAGUGGUACUACCAGUG